GAACUUUAUUGUGUAAUUUAUACUUGGAUGACUGCGCUGAAAUUAUAAUCGGGCAAUGGCGGCACGAAUCCGAGCUUGUUGACGGAGAUGAAGGGCUUACGAGGCCAAAGUCUGGCAUUUCGGUACGAAAUAAUGAUGUCAUUUGACAAAGUGACGUGGCGUUUCGUUAUUAGUGAGCUUAAGCAAGUGACGUUUUUGACAACACGGACGUCGACCGGAAGUAAAAUUGACGUUUUUCACCAAUCACAACCCUUGACCCAGUCUUCUGACGUUACUCAUGCCGUUCGUGUUG